rnacentral:rRNA from 1 species
AUGGAUAUGUGCAGGGGGCUGCGAUGGGGCAGACGGCGGCAGGUGGCAGCAAUAGGGUUUGGCAGAUGCUCCGAGACCAUGAAGACCCUAUUCAAUGGUAUGCCCUUUCUGUUUGGUUUUUGGGGGUUCCAUCUCCAGAUUGGUGCGAUGUGUGAUGCAGAUGUGAAGCAUGACAUGGUGAAGGAGGAUCCCGACAUGUUAGCCCCCACAAUCGCGCAGUUGGAGGGCAUGCGCGAUCUUGGUAAAACCUAUUUUUAUCGAGAAAGACAAACCUUUUCAAAACACUCAUUGUAUAGAUUUUGA